rnacentral:antisense_RNA from 1 species
AGACUGAUUAGAAAACCAGCUCAAGGUCAUGUUGCUGCUCUCUCAUUCCUGUUGAGGGCUCUCUGGUGGAGCCUCUGUCUCACAGGUCACCUGCAGGCCAACACUCCCAGAAGCAGCUAGCACCAUGGUUGACCUCGUCCAGGUCCAGGGAAGGCCUCCCUCUCCAGGACUCCUUUAGAUUUCCCCAGCAUCCAGACCUCACCUGCCUAAGUGCUGUUGCCCUGGAAGCCACACAGUGAGCACGAGCUCCAUCUUGCCCCUUUACCAGCCAAUGGGGGUAAAGACAUUAGCUGUAUAGGGGGAAUAGUGGCCAGGAAGAUCUCAGAGGUGGCUUCUGGAAGAGGAAUCUGGGUACUGGCUACCCUGCCUUGUGUCCCAUCAUUGGUCUGUCUUGCCUGUCUUGGAGCACAUUUCUCACCAAGCCCCAUGGCAGAGGACAGAAGAAGACCAGGA